UUGAGGAAGAUGGCGGCGGCAGGAGCGUCCGGGCGGGGCGGGCUGGGUCGGGCGUGGGUCUUCUCUGGCUGGGCCCUGGGCCUGUGCUCCCUGCUGGCCUCGGGGACGCGGCCCGCCGCUGCCACCACCCACUGGGUGGUCACCGAGGAUGGGAAGAUCCAGCAGCAGGUGGAUUCACCAAUGAACUUGAGGAACCCACAUGAUUUGGUAAUACUAAUGAGACAAGAAACAACAGUUAACUACCUCAAAGAACUGGAGAAACAGUUAGUUGCUCAAAAGAUUCAUAUAGAGGAAAAUGAGGACAGAGACACAGGGCUGGAACAAAGGCAUAAUAAAGAGGAUCCGGACUGCAUUAAAGCAAAGGUGCCCUUGGGGGACCUAGAUCUAUACGACGGCACAUACAUCACCUUAGAGAGCAAAGAUAUCCGCCCUGAAGAUUAUAUAGACACAAAGUCGCCAGUGCCUCCAGACCUGCAGCAGCCAGACUGUACAAAAGUUCUAGAUCUUCCAUACAGCAUUCAUGCUUUUCAGCACUUACGGGGUGUCCAAGAAAGAGUUAAUCUUUCCGCACCCUUGUUACCUAAAGAAGAUCCAAUCUUCACAUACUUAUCACGGAGGCUGGGAAGAAGUAUAGAGGAAAUAGGUCAUCGUAUUUAUGACGGGCUAAUGAAGAACUCGUCUUCCUGGGUACUCUAUAACAUGGCUUCCUUUUACUGGCGAAUAAAGAAUGAGCCAUACCAAGUAGUAGAAUGUGCCAUGCGUGCCCUUCAUUUUUCUUCAAGGCAAAAUAAAGAUAUUGCACUGGUAAAUUUGGCAAAUAUUCUGCACCGAGCUCACUUCUCUGCAGAUGCAGCUAUUGUGGUCCAUGCAGCUCUGGAUUACAGUGACUUCUUUACCAGCUAUUACACUUUGGGAAAUAUAUACGCAAUGCUUGGAGAGUACAACCACUCAGUCCUGUGUUAUGAUCAUGCUCUACAGGCAAAACCAGGGUUUGAGCAAGCCGUAAAAAGGAAGCAUGCUGUCCUAUGUCAGCAAAAACUUGAGCAAAAAUUGGAAGCCCAGCAUAGAUCACUUCAGCGAACAUUAAAUGAAUUGAAGGAAUAUCAGAAGCAGCAUGACCAUUACCUUAGGCAACAAGAUGUGUUAGACAAGUACAAGCUCAUCCAGGAGGAACAAAUCUUGAGGAACAUCAUUCAUGAGACACAGAUGGCAAAAGAAGCUCAAUUAGGGAACCAUCAGAUUUGUAGACUGGGCAAUCAGCAGCAUAGCUUACACUGCCAGUGGGACCAGCCUGUUCGUUAUCACCGUGGAGACAUUUUUGAAAAUGUGGAAUAUGUUCAGUUUGGUGAAGACUCUUCAACUUCUAGUAUGACAUCUGUGAAUUUGGAUCUUCAUGCAAACCAAAGCGACCACAGUCAAUCCUUGCAGUCUUCCCCUGUUGCUCGUUCUGUCGUCUCAGUGUGGAGUGUAGAACCCAACAGAGACAAACAGCAUAUUCUUUGGCCUCAGCGAUCAGAGUGCAUGAAAUCUUUCCCCAAAAUUCCUGAUCCAGAACAACUGCCAACUUAUUUUCUGCCUCCAGAAAACAGGGGAUUCAGAGUCCAGCCAAUCCUGAGUAUCCCAAGAGAUGCUGUCGGGCAUGGAGAAACCCAGGCCCCAGACUGUUCUUCCAUUACUGAUGCUCGUAACAACGAAUCUCUAAAUAUACUGGUCAAGGAACUAGACAGUAAUCUAGAUUUGAAAUUCAAGAUGCCAGAUGAUCAAGCAAGACAAGUCUUGUAUUCUCGUAUCAACAAUCAAAUUAUUACACAGGCGAAGAUAGGAGCAUUUCUAGAUCACGCCAUGAAAAAGCCAGAAGAUCCUCUAUGGCUUGUGCUUAAUGAAGCUGGAUUGUACUGGCGUGCAGUUGGAAAUGGCACCUUUGCUAUCACCUGUUUGCAAAAAGCAUUUAAUUUGGCUCCACAUGAGUAUCAGGACAUCCCUCUAGUCAAUCUUGCUAACCUCUUGAUUCAUUAUGGUCUUCAUUUGGAUGCCAGCAGGCUCCUGCUGAAGGCUUUGGCCAUCAAUGCCUCUGAGCCCCUGACGUUUUUGAGCCUAGGAAACGCGUAUCUGGCUCUGAACAACAUUAGUGGAGCCCUGCAAGCCUUCAGACAUGCACUGGAUUUGACGACCAAGUGCUUGGAGUGUGAAAGCAGCCUGAAGAUGAUCCGCUGUUUGCAGUUUUAUCCUUUUCUGUACAACAUCACCUCUUCUGUGUGCAGUGGCCACUGUCAUGAGAAAAAUCCAGACGGCAGUCACGACAAGGAGAAAUACUUUGAUGACCACCAUGAGUCAGUUACAGCUGUGGCAGAAGGAGACUCUGAGGGAGGUACAGAACAUGCAGAAGUCCUUACUCAGAGUUCAGCAAGGGAUCCCUCCUUCUUGAGGCUGGAAAACACAGUCACUGCAGAAAGUAAUGGUUCAGAAGGAAUGGAGGGUUUAGAAGAUGAACAGAUGUCUGAAGAGAUGCUGGCUUUGGUGGAUGAGUUUGAAAACUCUUGGCCUCAGGAAGCUUUUGAAGGGGCACUGGAGGUAAAAGGUCGUCGGAUGGACUUGCAGGGAAUCCGGGUCCUAAAGAAGGGAUCUCAGGAUGGACUGGCUAGCUCCUGUUUUGGGGACUGCGGUGAUGAUGAUGAGGCUGAAUGGAUCACUUUUCAGGUCAAACGUUUAAAGAAACCAAAAGCUGAAAGCUUGGAUCUCCAGGAGCCAGUUGGGAGAAACGGAGAAGAAGGGACUAAUGUAGAAAAUGAAAACUUUUACCAAACUGCCCUGGAGAUCAGUGGACCAAAGAUACCUUCUCCUGGACCAAUAGGAAAAAGACGUGACUAUCGUAGCCUUGGCUGGCCAAGUCCUGAUGAAUGCCUGAAACUCCGUAGGGUAGAGCUUACAACUGUAGCCAGCACAUGGCUUGCUGUUUCUGCUAAAAGCAUUGACAUUACAGAACACAUUGAUUUUGCCACGCAGCUGCAAGAACCAGCCAUGGAGCCCCUUUGUAACCCAAAUCUACCAGCCAGUAUGCAUACUUUGGACCACCUGCAAGGUGUCUCUAGUCGAGCCAGCUUGCAUUACACUGGGGAAAGUCAACUGAAAGAGGUGCUACAGAAUCUUGGCAAAGACCAGUACUCACCACAGUCAUUAGAACAAGUUGGUACUCGAAUAGCCAAAGCUUUGGAAAAGAAUCAGACUUCAUGGGUCCUCUCUAGCAUGGCAGCUCUUUACUGGCGAGUGAAAGGCCAAGGAAAGAAGGCAAUUGAUUGCUUACGGCAAGCAUUGCAUUAUGCACCCCAUCACAUGAAGACAACUGCAAAAGAGAUUGAGUGGAAUUUCCUGCAGUUCAGUGUGUUUGACACCUCUGUGGGCAAUGCAGGCUUGAACUUUCCCGUUACAUAGGACUUUGAAUCUUCAUCAGCCUUUGUCUGGACAAGCCUUCUAACCUAAGAUGUGGGGAGUAUAUCUUCUGAUUAUGCUUUUAAAGGGGGAGUUUAUCUUCUGGUUGUGCUUUUAAAGAGCUGAGGAGGUGAUAUCUAAAGGAAUAAUUUAAAUGCUUACAUUUUAAGCGUAUGGGCUGUGAAUCUCAGCUGGACACUAGUGCCUGACUAUGUGCAGCAGUUCUCAAAAAAAAAGGCAGUACUUUGGACAUAAUCUUCUGUUUUGUGUUUUAGUUGACUAAAGUGCCUUAUACCCUUCACCUUGCCACAUGGUGUGCUGAGCAUUAUAGUGUCUAUUCUUAAACACCAAACUCCCCCUUGCAAACUCAUAAUGCAAUAUAGGCUCCUCACUCAACAUUGCAGAUUUCACUUUGGGACGUGAGCAACAAAUUGUGCAGCAUUGUGCUGUGUGUACUACUUUUUGAAUCUUGGUCUUAAAUCCUUCUCUGAAAAUCGUGAGACAAAGUAAUUUACACUCUCGGGAUAUUAUUAGUAGGAUUUAGCCAUUAUCAGUAGAAAUGCACAUCCCCACUGCACAUCCUAUAUAUCUAUGUCCCCUAUAAUUCUGUCUCUUUGCAUUUGUCAUUUUAAAACAAGGUUGGAACCAAGAUCUAACAUAACAAGCUCUUGUUUAUUUUCCUGUCUUUCUAUCUAACUGGGAAUGGUUCUUCAGAAAUGGAGCCUUUAGCUGUGUGACUUGUAAGGGUCAGAGUAUGGAUUGGAAACUACAAUUUGGCAAGAUUAUGGGGUAGUAAUGCUGUUUUCUAGAUAUGUGAUAUAAAGUUGCUUGAGACUGGCUGACUGUCCAAAUUUGUGCCUUGUUUUUGUCCUCCGUACUGAAGCUACCUCCGGAGAAAGCUGUUGUAAAGAUACAGCUGCAACUUGAAUUAAGUGAGAGUUGGCACUGAAUUAACAGCUACUUAGUGGGUUUUGUUUUUUAUCCUCCUCUUUGGCUUUAUGCACUCUGGCUAUUUUCUCUUGCCUUUUCUCAUGUAAAUAAAAGGUAAUUAAUUUUCCUGUGGGCUGCUUUUGUGAUUCUGACUUCCAUAAUAUCUGCUUUGCAAACAUGAAUGACUUAUCCACCAAAGGUAUUCCUUGCCUUGUGGAGGUCAAGGAUGCAGGGAUCAAAUACAUCCAGAAUUUUUUAUUGUCCUGUUGAGGGCACCUAAGACUUAAUACCAAGCAGUAUUUUGUCCUUUGAAGGUGUAAAGCUCAGCUCCCGGAGAGUCUGUUAUGGUUGUCAGGGCUCAACAGUUUUGUCAGUCAAACAAGGUCACAGUCUGGAAAUACAGGAAAUAAAAAAUGUACCAUCAGUGACUAGCUGAGGAAAUUGUAUUUAUAGCUGUUAUCCAGCAUCGUAUAGGAAUUCUGUGGCAGAGGCAGGAUAAAAAUGGUACAUCAGUUGUAGUAAUGGUUAGACCCUUUUUUCACUUCCCUGCUGUCCCCUUUUGUUCAUAUUUCUUCCCCUUUUAUGCAAGAGCUGAAGGAGGAUGGUCAAACAAAACAGCUUCUCUUGUCUCUGAGAAUGCAUCUCAUCUUUGGGGAGAAAACUAGUGCAAGAGCAUCUGAAAAACAAAUGUACAUACUAGGACACUUAAGAUGUACCACUAAUAAGCCUAGCAAACAUCUUCCACAACGCAAAACUCUGGAAUGAUGCCAUCAUUGUGGCCACCAUGGCAGUGGAAAUAGCACCACACUUUGUGGUUAAUCAUUUCACACUGGCAAAUGUCUACG